CCUACGGGUGGCAGCAGUGAGGAAUAUUGGUCAAUGGACGAGAGUCUGAACCAGCCAAGUAGCGUGAAGGAUGACUGCCCUAUGGGUUGUAAACUUCUUUUAUAUGGGAAUAAAAUGUUCCACGUGUGGGAUUUUGUAUGUACCAUAUGAAUAAGGAUCGGCUAACUCCGUGCCAGCAGCCGCGGUAAUACGGAGGAUCCGAUCGUUAUCCGGAUUUAUUGGGUUUAAAGGGAGCGUAGGUGGAUUGUUAAGUCAGUUGUGAAAGUUUGCGGCUCAACCGUAAAAUUGCAGUUGAUACUGGCAGUCUUGAGUACAGUAGAGGUGGGCGGAAUUCGUGGUGUAGCGGUGAAAUGCUUAGAUAUCACGAAGAACUCCGAUUGCGAAGGCAGUUCACUGGACUGCAACUGACACUGAGGCUCGAAAGUGUGGGUAUCAAACAGGAUUAGAUACCCGAGUAGUC
rnacentral:rRNA from 1 species